AUACGGAGGGGGUUAGCGUUGUUCGGAAUUACUGGGCGUAAAGCGCACGUAGGCGGACUGGAAAGUUGGGGGUGAAAUCCCGGGGCUCAACCCCGGAACUGCCUCCAAAACUUCCAAUCUCGAGAUCGAGAGAGGUGAGUGGAAUUCCAAGUGUAGAGGUGAAAUUCGUAGAUAUUUGGAGGAACACCAGUGGCGAAGGCGGCUCACUGGCUCGAUACUGACGCUGAGGUGCGAAAGCGUGGGGAGCAAACAGGAUUAGAAACCCCAGUAGUCC
rnacentral:rRNA from 1 species